AAACAGGAUUAGAUACCCUGGUAGUCCACGCCGUAAACGAUGUCGACUUGGAGGUUGUGCCCUUGAGGCGUGGCUUCCGGAGCUAACGCGUUAAGUCGACCGCCUGGGGAGUACGGCCGCAAGGUUAAAACUCAAAUGAAUUGACGGGGGCCCGCACAAGCGGUGGAGCAUGUGGUUUAAUUCGAUGCAACGCGAAGAACCUUACCUGGUCUUGACAUCCACGGAACUUUCCAGAGAUGAGAAGGUGCCUUCGGGAACCGUGAGACAGGUGCUGCAUGGCUGUCGUCAGCUCGUGUUGUGAAAUGUUGGGUUAAGUCCCGCAACGAGCGCAACCCUUAUCCUUUGUUGCCAGCGGUCCGGCCGGGAACUCAAAGGAGACUGCCAGUGAUAAACUGGAGGAAGGUGGGGAUGACGUCAAGUCAUCAUGGCCCUUACGACCAGGGCUACACACGUGCUACAAUGGCGCAUACAAAGAGAAGCGACCUCGCGAGAGCAAGCGGACCUCAUAAAGUGCGUCGUAGUCCGGAUUGGAGUCUGCAACUCGACUCCAUGAAGUCGGAAUCGCUAGUAAUCGUGGAUCAGAAUGCCACGGUGAAUACGUUCCCGGGCCUUGUACACACCGCCCGUCACACCAUGGGAGUGGGUUGCAAAAGAAGUAGGUAGCUUAACCUUCGGG
rnacentral:rRNA from 1 species